AUGUCUCUACCCUCUCUCUAUCUACCCUCUCUCUGUGUCUCUACCCUCUCUCUCUGUGUGUCUCUACCCUCUCUCCCUGUGUCUCUACCCUCUCUCUCUGUCUCGACCCUCUCUCUCUGUCUCGACCCUCUCUCUCUGUCUCUACCCUCUCUCUCUCUCUCUCUCUCUCUCUGUCUCUACCCUCUCUCUCUGUCUCUACCCUCUCUCUCUUUGUGUCUCUACCCUCUCUCCCUGUGUCUCUACCCUCUCUCUCUGUCUCGACCCUCUCUCUCUGUCUCUACCCUCUCUCUCUCUAUCUCUCUCUCUCUGUUUCUACCCUCUCUCUCUGUCUCUAACCUCUCUCUGUCUCUACCCUCUCUCUGUCUCUACCCUCUCUCUCUAACCUCUCUCUAUGUCUCUACCCUCUCUCUCUCUACCCUCUCUCUGUGUCUCUACCUUCUCUCUCUCUGUGUCUCUACCCUCUCUCCCUGUGUCUCUACCCUCUCUCUCUGUCUCGACCCUCUCUCUCUGUCUCUACCCUCUCUCUCUCUCUCUCUCUCUGUCUCUACCCUCUCUCUCUGUCUCUACCCUCUCUCUCUAACCUCUCUCUCUUUGUCUCUACCCUCUCUCUCUGUCUCUACCCUCUCUCUCUGUCUCUACCCUCUCUCUCUAACCUCUCUCUCUUUGUCUCUACCCUCUCUCUCUCUGUCUCUACCCUCUCUCUCUCUGUCUCUACCCUCUCUCUCUCUGUCUCGACCCUCUCUCUGUCUCUACCUUCUCUCUCUCUCUCUCUACCCUCUCUCUCUCUGUCUCUACCCUCUCUCUCUCUGUCUCUACCCUCUCUCUGUCUCUACCUUCUCUCUCUCUCUGUCUCUACUCUCUCUGUCUCUUCUCUCUCUGUCUCUACGCUCUCUCUCUGUGUCUCUACCCUCUCUCUCUCUGUGUCUCUACCCUCUCUCUCUCUGUGUCUCUACCCUCUCUCUCUGUCUCUACCCUCUCUCUGUCUCUACCCUCUCUCUGUCUCUACCCUCUCUCUCUAACCUAUCUCUAUGUCUCUACCCUCUCUCUAUCUACCCUCUCUGUGUCUCUACCCUCUCUCUCUUUGUGUCUCUACCCUCUCUCCCUGUGUCUCUACCCUCUCUCUCUGUCUCGACCCUCUCUCUCUGUCUCUACCCUCUCUCUCUCUCUCUCUCUCUCUCUCUCUGUCUCUACCCUCUCUCUCUGUCUCUACCCUCUCUCUCUGUCUCUACCCUCUCUCUGUCUCUACCCUCUCUCUGUCUCUACCCUCUCUCUCUAACCUCUCUCUAUGUCUCUACCCUCUCUCUGUGUCUCUACCCUCUCUCUCUCUGUGUCUCUACCCUCUCUCUCUCUGUGUCUCUACCCUCUCUCCCUGUGUCUCUACCCUCUCUCUCUGUCUCGACCCUCUCUCUCUGUCUCUGCCCUCUCUCUCUCUCUCUCUCUCUGUCUCUACCCUCUCUCUCUGUCUCUACCCUCUCUCUCUAA
rnacentral:lncRNA from 1 species